AGUAAUGUAUGGGGAUCUGCCUGAUGGAGGGGGAUAACUACUGGAAACGGUAGCUAAUACCGCAUAACGUCGCAAGACCAAAGAGGGGGACCUUAGGGCCUCUUGCCAUCGGAUGUGCCCAGAUGGGAUUAGCUAGUAGGUGGGGUAAUGGCUCACCUAGGCGACGAUCCCUAGCUGGUCUGAGAGGAUGACCAGCCACACUGGAACUGAGACACGGUCCAG
rnacentral:rRNA from 1 species